rnacentral:tRNA from 1 species
GUUGGCGGUCCGCGGGUCGAAGGCGGCGAUGCUGGCACCGCCGCCGUUCGUGGUCUUGCCCGUUCCGUUCAGGCCCACCAAUGC